rnacentral:rRNA from 1 species
UACAGAGGGGGCAAGCGUUGUUCGGAAUUACUGGGCGUAAAGGGCGCGUAGGUGGCCUUCUAAGUUGAACGUGAAAUCCCUGGGCUCAACCCAGGAACUGCGUCCAAGACUGGGAGGCUUGAAUCCGGGAGAGGGAUGCGGAAUUCCAGGUGUAGCGGUGAAAUGCGUAGAUAUCUGCAGGAACACCCGUGGCGAAAGCGGCGCGCUGGACCACUACUGACGCUGAGGAACGAAAGCUAGGGGAGCAAACAGG